rnacentral:misc_RNA from 1 species
AACCAAAAUUCUCAUAUUCGACUGGCAUCAACGAUGAUUGUCAUUAUUGAAGAGCGUAUAGAUCGACACAUAAUAGAAGAGCAAAGAAAUAUAAUUAUACAACAAAGUAAAUUUUUUCCCCUUCCAAGAGGCAGCAAAAUGUAAGAAUGCAAUUGGAGACAGAUGACAAAUGCCCAACCAAGUGUUAAGUUCAAUCCACCUAAAAUUGAAGUAUAACACUGGUAUUAGGGAAAAAUCUCCAUGAUCUUAAGGAUCUGAGGUGGUAAUUGUAAUCAGGAUAGAUAGGAUCUACAAUUCUUGGUGCCAGUCUAUAACAUUCAUUACUCCUUUUCAGCUAUAAAAAAUGAUAUUCAUCUUUGAAAUUCAUACUCACAAGCAAAUCAAGCAAUCGUUUUCUCAAAAUAGUUUCUAUAAUAUAAUUGGCAUACAUUUUUUUUAACAUGAACAAGGUUCAAUUU